rnacentral:rRNA from 1 species
GAUGAACACUAGCGGCAGGCCUAACACAUGCAAGCCGAACGGUAAUUUUUUCCCGACUUGUCGGGAGAGAAACGAGUGGCGGACGGGUGAGUAAUGCGUAUGCAACCUACCUUUAACCGGGGAAUAGCUCCGAGAAAUCGGAAUUAAUACCCCAUAAUAUCCUAGUAACACAUGUUAUAAGGAUUAAAGCUCUGGCGGUUAAUGAUGGGCAUGCGUGACAUUAGCUAGUUGGUGAGGUAACGGCUCACCAAGGCAACGAUGUCUAGGGGGUCUUAAAGGAUGGUCCCCCACACUGGUACUGAGACACGGACCAGACUCCUACGGGAGGCAGCAGUGGGGAAUAUUGGGCAAUGGGUGAAAGCCUGACCCAGCCAUGCCGCGUGCAGGAAGAAUGCCUUAUGGGUUGUAAACUGCUUUUGUAUAGGAAGAAACCCCUGAUCGUGAUCGGGGCUGACGGUACUAUACGAAUAAGGAUCGGCUAACUCCGUGCCAGCAGCCGCGGUAAUACGGAGGAUCCAAGUGUUAUCCGGAUUUAUUAGGUUUAAAGGGUGCGUAGGCGGAAUUAUAAGUCAGUGGUGAAAUCCUACAGCUUAACUGUAGAACUGCCAUUGAAACUAUUAUUCUUGAGUAUAGUUGAGGUAGGCGGAACGUGUUAUGUAGCGGUGAAAUGCUUAGAUAUAACACAGAACACCAAUUGCGUAGGCAGCUUACUAAACUAUUACUGACGCUGAGGCACGAAAGCGUGGGUAGCGAACAGGAUUAGAUACCCUGGUAGUCCACGCCGUAAACGAUGAUUACUCGAUGUAUGCGAUAUACAGUAUGCGUUCUAGCGAAAGCAUUAAGUAAUCCACCUGGGGAGUACGUCGGCAACGAUGAAACUCAAAGGAAUUGACGGGGGCCCGCACAAGCAGAGGAACAUGUGGUUCAAUUCGAUGAUACGCGAGGAACCUUACCUGGGCUUAAAUGUAGCUUGAUCUCCCGAGAAAUCGGGAUUCCCUUCGGGGCAAAUUACAAGGUGCUGCAUGGCUGUCGUCAGCUCGUGCCGUGAGGUGUCGGGUUAAGUCCCAUAACGAGCGCAACCCCUAUCGUUAGUUGCCAGCGGAUAAUGCCGGGGACUCUAACGAGACUGCCCGCGCAAGCGGUGAGGAAGGUGGGGAUGACGUCAAGUCAGCACGGCCCUUAUGUCCAGGGCUACACACGUGUUACAAUGGUCGGUACAAAGAGCUGCUACCUGGCAACAGGCGGCUAAUCUUAAAAGCCGAUCUCAGUUCGGAUCGAAGUCUGCAAUUCGACUUCGUGAAGCUGGAUUUGCUAGUAAUCGUAUAUCAGCAACGAUACGGUGAAUACGUUCCCGGGCCUUGUACACACCGCCCGUCAAGCCAUGGAAGCUGGUGGUACUUGAAGUUCGUAACCGAAAGGAGUGACCUAAGGUAAAACCAGUAACUGGGGCU